rnacentral:rRNA from 1 species
AAAAAAAAAAAGUGGGGGAUAGCACGUCGAAAUCCGGAUUAAUACCGCCUACGACCUGAGGGUGAAAGCGGGUGAACGAAAGGCCUCGCGCUAUUUGAGCGGCCGAUGUCGGAUUAGCUAGUUGGUGGGGUAAAGGCUUACCAAUUUCACGAUUCGGAGCUGGUCUGAGAGGACGACUAGCCAGACAGGGACGGAGACAAGGCCAAGACUCCUACGGGAAGCAGCAGUGGGGAAUUUGGGACAAUGGGGGCAACGCUGAUCCAGCCAUGACGAUUUUUUUUAUAAUGCUGCGGCGUCCAA